AUGAGUGAUGCUGAGGAUGUGGUGGGAUCAAAAAGGCGAAAUAUUUACACUCCUAAUUAUUUUCAGUUAAGUGAAGAUGACGAGACAGCCAAGGCAUUGGUUGUUGAACAUGUUGAUUUGUUUCUUGAGGAAAAGGAGCGACGUGAGCACUUCCUCCAACCAUUGAGCCAUGCAUAUCCAAGUAACAAAGAUGUACGUAUAGAUGAGUAUACGUGGGAUUCUAGUUGGAGAGAUAGAGUUUCAGUUCAUUGGUUUGAAAGGAAAAAGGUGCAGCUAGGAUUCUUAUUUAUAUUCCUGCCAUGCAAGGAGAAGUACGGCCAUGCAGCAUCUGGAUCUAACAAUAUGUAG
rnacentral:rRNA from 1 species